CCUACGGGAGGCAGCAGUGGGGAAUAUUGCACAAUGGGCGCAAGCCUGAUGCAGCCAUGCCGCGUGUGUGAAGAAGGCCUUCGGGUUGUAAAGCACUUUCAGCGGGGAGGAAGGCGUUAAGGUUAAUAACCUUGUCGAUUGACGUUACCCGCAGAAGAGGCACCGGCUAACUCCGUGCCAGCAGCCGCGGUAAUACGGAGGGUGCAAGCGUUAAUCGGAAUUACUGGGCGUAAAGCGCACGCAGGCGGUCUGUCAAGUCGGAUGUGAAAUCCCCGGGCUCAACCUGGGAACUGCAUUCGAAACUGGCAGGCUAGAGUCUUGUAGAGGGGGGUAGAAUUCCAGGUGUAGCGGUGAAAUGCGUAGAGAUCUGGAGGAAUACCGGUGGCGAAGGCGGCCCCCUGGACAAAGACUGACGCUCAGGUGCGAAAGCGUGGGGAGCAAACAGGAUUAGAUACCCGAGUAGUC
rnacentral:rRNA from 1 species